ensembl:lncRNA
GUGCUGCCAGCAUGUGGAGCUGAGAGCAGUGAAAGUCCAAAGGACUGGGGCACCAGAGGAGGUCACCAGGAGCUGUCAUGACUGCAGGACAUAUAUAAGCCCUGCAGGAAAGAGAAAGGGAGAAUGAUUCAUUGGUUGAUGCAAGCCUCUGUAGAAGUACUGAUCUAGUUGGAUCAGUAACUAACUUGGAUGGAUUUGCAACCAACAGCUCAGCAGCUGCUUCAUGAACCGUCCUUCCAGGAGGGAACGUCAAAAAGAUGGGUAUGAAGAACACUUGUCCAUUCGUAAUUGAAACUAUUCAAGAUGCAUGGGCCUGAAAGGGCAUUAUAAGUUUCUCAUGCUCUCUGGUGUAGUAAAGAUCUUGUCUUCUAGCAAACAUUAUGAAUGAAAGAUUUUCUUACAAGGAGAGAUGGAGUAGACUGAAUCAAGCCUCUGUCAAGAACCACUUCUGCAAUACUGAAUUAACAUACCCAAGACCGGCACAUCAGGAAGAUAGCCUUCUACCAAGAAUAGUGUGGAGAUACACUUUGUUCACAGAAGGAAACAUCAUGAGACUCAGACAGAUACAGUGCAUCCUCCGAUUGCAGAGAUGUUGCUGCUCUCUGAGCACUGCACACUCUGUGUUCAUGACUGAUGAAAAUAAUGCCCAGUUUUGGGGGAGAUUUGUGUUAUGGGAGACAGUAACAGCUGCUCUAAUAGGGUGGCUUAUCACUUUCUUGUGGAGACAGGUACAGCUUCUGUUCUCUUUUGCACCCUCAAAUCUGGUAUAA